rnacentral:rRNA from 1 species
UGGCGGACGGGUGAGUAAUGUCUGGGAAACUGCCUGAUGGAGGGGGAUAACUACUGGAAACGGUAGCUAAUACCGCAUAACGUCGCAAGACCAAAGAGGGGGACCUUCGGGCCUCUUGCCAUCGGAUGUGCCCAGAUGGGAUUAGCUAGUAGGUGGGGUAAAGGCUCACCUAGGCGACGAUCCCUAGCCGGUCUGAGAGGAUGACCAGCCACACUGGAACUGAGACACGGUCCAG